rnacentral:lncRNA from 1 species
AUGGGGAGGGCCACGGACCUCCCCCCUCCGCGCGUUCCCCUGCUCCGCGCCCCUCCCGCUGUGCGCGCCCCCCCGGAGCGGCCGCCAACGGGGUCGGCGAGAGGGGGGCGCGCAUCCCGAGGGGGCCGCGGUGGCGGCGGGGGUCCCACCGUGUGGCCCCCCGUUCAUCCCCCUCCCCGUUCCCCCCCUCCGGCAGUGGUCGCGCCCGGGCGGCGGGUCACGUGGCGGCGGGUGCUGUCGGUGACGUGGGGGCGCGCGGGCGCGGAGCAGCGCGCGCGGCGCGGAGCGAGCAGCGGCGGCGGCGGCGGCGGCGGGAGAGGAAAACGGGGGGUCCCGGGCACAGCUCCGGGCGGUGCAAACACACAUCACACCCCCUACCAUCACCAGCCUCCGCUUCUGGCGUUGACACUCAAGUGGUGGGUUAAUUCUGUGUAGCUGUUUUGUUAUUGUUGCAAAAUAACCUGUCACGGUGCCCUCGGUCCGCCGGUGCAGUUGCUCGGAGCUACUGAUUCCAGCACUGGCGAGCCCACGGAGCGGCCACCUUGGACGCCAAGUGCCCGGGUGCUGCCUUUAUUUUGAUUUCUCAGCCGAGCUCUUGAACUGAAACAUUUUAAAGCAAGGAGGUUUGGGGAGGGGGUGGGUAAUAAAUUAGGAAGAAAGCCCUUCUGCUAAUACGAC